GGUCCAGCCCUCCCACUCGCUCUCGCCAUCUCCGUCACACUCGCCCAAGUACUCGCCCUCCCAGUUGCCCACGCGCUCUCGCAGACCAAGCUAAACUCAACCACGACGACAUCGCCAAUGCUAUUAAGAGUCUCACCGGUCACAGAUAUGUUGACUCUCAGGAGAUUACAAAGGAGACAUGGUUGCUCACCGAGGAAGGGAAGACAUAUGCUGUUCAUGGAACGCCAGAAGUGCGGCUCUUCCUGUCCAUACCGCAAGAGGGCAUCACGAAAGAUGAAUUGCAGAAAAAGUUUGAUGCAUCGGUUUUCAAAAUAGCUUGCGCCCAGGCUGCAAAGAAUAAAUGGGUGGACUUUGGAAAGCAACUAGUGACCAGAAAGAUCCAACAUGUGGAUAAUGACAAGGUCCAGACUUUGCUUCUACGGAUACAGGACGCAACAAAACAACAAAUAGCAGCAACAAAACAACAAAUUAAGGAUAUAUGGGUAGAGU